CCUACGGGAGGCAGCAGUGGGGAAUAUUGCACAAUGGGCGGAAGCCUGAUGCAGCAACGCCGCGUGAGGGAUGACGGCCUUCGGGUUGUAAACCUCUUUUAGCAGGGAAGAAGCGAAAGUGACGGUACCUGCAGAAAAAGCGCCGGCUAACUACGUGCCAGCAGCCGCGGUAAUACGUAGGGCGCAAGCGUUAUCCGGAAUUAUUGGGCGUAAAGAGCUCGUAGGCGGUUUGUCGCGUCUGCUGUGAAAUCCCGAGGCUCAACCUCGGGUCUGCAGUGGGUACGGGCAGACUAGAGUGCGGUAGGGGAGAUUGGAAUUCCUGGUGUAGCGGUGGAAUGCGCAGAUAUCAGGAGGAACACCGAUGGCGAAGGCAGAUCUCUGGGCCGUAACUGACGCUGAGGAGCGAAAGGGUGGGGAGCAAACAGGCUUAGAUACCCUGGUAGUCCACCCCGUAAACGUUGGGAACUGGUUGUGGGGACCAUUCCACGGUUUCCGUGACGCAGCUAACGCAUUAAGUUCCCCGCCUGGGGAGUACGGCCGCAAGGCUAAAACUCAAAGGAAUUGACGGGGACCCGCACAAGCGGCGGAGCAUGCGGAUUAAUUCGAUGCAACGCGAAGAACCUUAC
rnacentral:rRNA from 1 species